GGUGAGUAAUGUCUGGGAAACUGCCUGAUGGAGGGGGAUAACUACUGGAAACGGUGGCUAAUACCGCAUAACGACGCAAGACCAAAGUGGGGGACCUUCGGGCCUCUUGUCAUCAGAUGUGCCCAGAUGGGAUUAGCCUGUUGGUGAGGUAACGGCUCACCAAGGCGACGAUCCCUAGCUGGUCUGAGAGGAUGACCAGCCACACUGGAACGGAGACACGGUCCAGACUCCUACGGGACGCAGCCGUGGGGAAUAUUGCACAAUGGGCGCAAGCCUGAUGCAGCCAUGCCGCGUGUAUGAAGAAGGCCUUCGGGGUGUAAAGUACUCUCCCCGGGGGGGUAGUGGUUGUGGUCAAGAACU
rnacentral:rRNA from 1 species